GAUGAACGCUGGCGGCGUGCCUAAUACAUGCAAGUCGAGCGAACAGACGAGGAGCUUGCUCCUCUGACGUUAGCGGCGGACGGGUGAGUAACACGUGGAUAACCUACCUAUAAGACUGGGAUAACUUCGGGAAACCGGAGCUAAUACCGGAUAAUAUAUUGAACCGCAUGGUUCAAUAGUGAAAGACGGUUUUGCUGUCACUUAUAGAUGGAUCUGCGCCGCAUUAGCUAGUUGGUAAGGUAACGGCUUACCAAGGCAACGAUGCGUAGCCGACCUGAGAGGGUGAUCGGCCACACUGGAACUGAGACACGGUCCAGACUCCUACGGGAGGCAGCAGUAGGGAAUCUUCCGCAAUGGGCGAAAGCCUGACGGAGCAACGCCGCGUGAGUGAUGAAGGUCUUCGGAUCGUAAAACUCUGUUAUUAGGGAAGAACAAAUGUGUAAGUAACUAUGCACGUCUUGACGGUACCUAAUCAGAAAGCCACGGCUAACUACGU
rnacentral:rRNA from 1 species